GUUAUUCUGUUAGGACACACAAGAGGAAAGGGCUACCCAUAGAGGUGGAGCCGUCCAGGAACAAAUACUUGACCAUGUGAGACUUUCUAAUCAAGAGUCACGAUCUACAAUGAGUAUCUAUUUUUGUCGAGUCCUAGAUGUAUAUGCUCCAUAUGUCACAGGCAGGAUCCAUUCAUAUUUAUUUAUUUUACCUUUUGUUAAAAACAUGUAAUUAUUCAUUUUAGAAAUUGUAAAGUUAUUUUAAAAUAUUUGUAAUUUUCUUAUUGAAUUUA